rnacentral:SRP_RNA from 1 species
CGUGCUAGGCGGGGAGGUAGCGGUGCCCUAAACCCGCAAUCCGCUCUAGCGGGGCUUAAUUCCGAACUGAGGCUUGUUUGACUAGACCUCUACCGGUGAUUUGGAGUGUUGAGAGUUGGGUCCUACGCGGCGAGAGUCUGUGAACCCCGUCAGGUUCGGAAGAAAGCAGCGGUAAGCGGUGCCUCUCGGGUGCCGUGGGACAACCUGAUUCGAGCUUCAGUCACUUGGCAUGUCUACUCUUCGAUCCGACGAGAGGUGCACGG